UAGGGAAUCUUCCGCAAUGGGCGAAAGCCUGACGGAGCAAUGCCGCGUGAGUGAAGAAGGCCUUCGGGUCGUAAAACUCUGUUAUAAGAGAAGAACAAAUUGUAGAGUAACUGCUACAGUCUUGACGGUAUCUUAUCAGAAAGCCACGGCUAACUACGUGCCAGCAGCCGCGGUAAUACGUAGGUGGCAAGCGUUGUCCGGAUUUAUUGGGCGUAAAGGGAGCGCAGGUGGUUUCUUAAGUCUGAUGUGAAAGCCCACGGCUUAACCGUGGAGGGUCAUUGGAAACUGGGAAACUUGAGUACAGAAGAGGAAUGUGGAACUCCAUGUGUAGCGGUGGAAUGCGUAGAUAUAUGGAAGAACACCAGUGGCGAAGGCGACAUUCUGGUCUGUUACUGACACUGAGGCUCGAAAGCGUGGGGAGCUAACAGG
rnacentral:rRNA from 1 species